CCCGUGAAAUGCCGGAGCUCAACUCCGUGCACGCCGGGGGAUACUGGAGGACUGGAGACGAGUAGAGGCAAGCGGAAUUCCGGGUGUAGCGGUGGAAUGCGUAAAUAUCCGGAAGAACACCGGAGGCGAAGGCGGCUUGCUGGGCUUGGUCUGACGCUGAGGCGCGAAAGCGUGGGGAGCGAACAGGAUUAGAUACCCUGGUAGUCCACGCCGUAAACGAUGGGCACUAGACGCGGGUGGGAUCGACCCCUUCCGUGUCGCAGCUAACGCGCUAAGUGCCCCGCCUGGGGAGUACGGCCGCAAGGCUGAAACUCAAAGGAAUUGACGGGGGCCCGCACAAGCGGUGGAGCAUGUGGUUUAAUUCGAAGCAACGCGAAGAACCUUACCUGGGCUUGAC
rnacentral:rRNA from 1 species